AGUGAACGCUGGCGGCAGGCCUAACACAUGCAAGUCGAACGGCAGCACAGAGGAGCUUGCUCCUUGGGUGGCGAGUGGCGGACGGGUGAGGAAUACAUCGGAAUCUGCCUAUUCGUGGGGGAUAACGUAGGGAAACUUACGCUAAUACCGCAUACGACCUACGGGUGAAAGUGGGGGACCGCAAGGCCUCACGCGAUUAGAUGAGCCGAUGUCCGAUUAGCUAGUUGGCGGGGUAAUGGCCCACCAAGGCGACGAUCGGUAGCUGGUCUGAGAGGAUGAUCAGCCACACUGGAACUGAGACACGGUCCAGACUCCUACGGGAGGCAGCAGUGGGGAAUAUUGGACAAUGGGCGCAAGCCUGAUCCAGCCAUACCGCGUGGGUGAAGAAGGCCUUCGGGUUGUAAAGCCCUUUUGUUGGGAAAGAAAUCCUAUCGGUUAAUAACCGGUGGGGAUGACGGUACCCAAAGAAUAAGCACCGGCUAACUUCGUGCCAGCCGCCGCAGUAAAAC
rnacentral:rRNA from 1 species